AAACUUGAGAGUUUGAUCCUGGCUCAGAACGAACGCUGGCGGCAUGCCUAACACAUGCAAGUCGAACGAAGUCUUCGGACUUAGUGGCGCACGGGUGCGUAACGCGUGGGAAUCUGCCCUUGGGUACGGAAUAACUCAGAGAAAUUUGUGCUAAUACCGUAUAAUGACUUCGGUCCAAAGAUUUAUCGCCCAAGGAUGAGCCCGCGUA
rfam:Beta vulgaris subsp. vulgaris contig133766.1, whole genome shotgun sequence.